CAAAACAGACAUGUUCUAGAAAGAACCUUCUGUUUGAUCAAGAGUACAUUUUCCUAUUCGGGUGCCUUAUGUACAGUAGCAGACGGGAAGUAAGACCCUGUUGAGAGCUCGAAGAAUGAAAACCUCAGCAGAAUCAGAAUAGCAUUUCCAAUACCAGAUAUCUCAGACUUCUGCUUGGCGUGCUUCUUCCCAUCGUCCCUUUCCUGAGGUUCACGGGAAGAGGCUUGGCUCGGCUAAUGAGUCACCAGAUAAAACACAAAGGCUCCAGACACUUUUUGCACUCCAGUUAUAAGUGUAAAGGAGAAAGAUCGAACCACUCAGGGAGGGACGGUUUUUGCUCAUGAGUUGGAAAAAGGGUGGUGGGGGUCAGUCUCUGCCUUGGCACUUGUCACCAUCACCAGGGAGCCAGAGGACUCUGAACAACAGUCCCUUGAUGGUCUUUGGUCGAGUCUAGAGAAUGCAGUCAUCCCCAGCAGCAGGAUGCUGCCUGCCCCUGGUCCAGCUAAGAGGGACUCCUGUCUGGGCUCUGGGCCUGCUCAGCAUCCUCUCUCCGUCACCGGCAAGCUCAAGACUCCCUGGACAUCCCAGUGCUCAAGGACCAGGGGCGGGCCCUAGACAACACAAGGGUUGAUGGAAUUCACAGGCCAAAGUCACCAGUGGGGCACUGGACCAUCAGGCUUGAGACCUCUCCUCACCUGUGGCCUGGACGAUGGUGGAGCCCCAUGCCCCGUGCCCUUGACUUGCUUAGACGACACAGACGUGAACUUGUGUGAUUUUUGCACGGGUGCGUUAUUGGUGACGAAGUCAUGCUGACUUACUGUGGGUUGCGGGGAGAUGUCCUGUGGUAGAGUGCUAAUAAUGACAAAAAUAAUCAUAAAUUUAAAAAUAACAAUAAAAAUCAGCAAUGUGAAGAUUGUUUUCAGAGCAGGGGAAGAAGCGAGAGGGCAGCUGGGUGUCUUUUCCAAAUGGUAGGGAUAUCUGACUUCUUGGAGUCUUUUUCAGGAAGUGAGCAUUGAACGCCUUACACCAAGGAGUGGUGGGUUGUGUCUAGUUCUCCUGAGGGCGGCGUGCCCCAUCCUUCCCUUCUCCCUGUGUGCUCAGGGCCACCCCUUCCUCCUCGGUCCCCUGGGCUUCCCCAGCCCCCAGCCGUGCAUGCUCCCUCUAUCUCAUGGGGACUCCUCCCCGCCUCCAGGUGAACAGCAGGCUGAGCAGAUCCCAUCCACACCUGCCCAGACACACCUGCCUCACCUCGGGGCAGACAGCGAUCUGGCUCCCAGCACGUUGAUGAAACAGAAAACUAACAUCCUUGGCAAAACGCUGGGGCUCCUGCUUCAGGGAACUUGUAAAAGCAAGAGUGGUUUAGUUUUCCAAGGCCAAGUCAUUCACUGCUCCCCUCCCCAUCUCCCCCAGAGGAGAAGGGACAUGGCAAGAUUGCUUCUCACCAGCAACCAGCUCUCAUCUAAAAGCACUUUUUUAGAAACAGAACGAUUUUCUGGAUAAUUUAUCCAAUUAGCAUCAUGAAGGCAGUCGCUGGAGUAGAGAAAAUGGCAGUGAACAUCAACUGUGAAGACCAGUGGGAAGUCCCAGGGGAAACAGAAGAUAGCAGCAUUUAGACACCGUCACCCACAUGGACCACCACACCGCGACCCUGAGGCAGGUGAGCGCCAGGUGCUCAUGCAGAAGGAGACGCCCACAGGACCCGCCAGCAGAGUACAAGCUAGUGCGCACUUGUGAAAUGGUGCCUUCAACUCCACAGGUGGAACGCCAGGCAUUGGACCUUUGCUAAGACCAAAGGUAUCUCAGGUCUUCAGAAUGUUCACAGUGUGGAAGGAAAGUGACACGUAAUCAACGACUGUGCGAAUGAAUGAGCGAGUGAAUCAAGACCCGCGCGCUGGGCUUGCCCUUACUGGUGAGGGAAACAAGGGUGCUACCUUGCUGGGAGACUAGAUGAGCCAGACUUCGUGCAGAACUGUCUUCUGCCUCCUUUUCAAGUGCUACUUCAAAGAGAAGAAAGUGACCAAGCAACCUGAUGCCAGUUUCGAGAUCUAUAUCCAGACCAGCUGUGGAAGAGACAGUAAGUCUGCCACCUUGUGUGUAUGCUGUCCAGUGUCUGCUGCUGAGCACGUUCAGAACUCAAGUGAAAAAUACGUGGAAAAGAGCCCAGAAUUCUGUAGCUUGCUUUCACUGAUUCACGGUAGCUGAAAGGACAGGGACUGUUGUUAUCUCUUAAAGGAGGAAGCCAGAGGUAGUUCCACGGCUGCUGAAUUCUGCAGCAAAACGAUGACACCUGGAGGCUUUCCUUGGUCUUUGCAUUCCAGCACACCAGUAAACUGACUCCCUCAUGAUCUCAGUGUGGCUGCAGAGCCUCCAGACAUCACCCCAACACACAGCUCUGUGUCCUUCUCAUGCAUCUCAUUUUAACCAUGGAAGAAAAUCUCUCCCACGGUAUGAAAGUUACCCUAUAAAACCUCAUAAUUCUCUUUUGGUUACCUUGUUUCAUGAUUUGCUGCUGUGGGGAAUAAUGUUGGGAUCGACAUCUCUGUAUGUACCCCC